CGCGAGCAGUGCGCUAUCGGUGCUUGGUCAGUGGAGAGUGUUUUUUUUUUUGGUUGUUUAGUUCUAAACGUUAAAAAAGUUGAAAAUGUUGUUUUGGUUCCGGUAGUACUUUGAGUGGGGCUGGAAAAAGUGGCAUGUUUUGACUGGGAUUGAUGGCUUUAAUAACUUAAUGUGGCCAUUGUGUUCUGGGGCGGAUUGCGGGUGAACUUGAUCUUGGGAGGUCACCCCGGUUGGGCAAGUCAGAACUUGUAUUUCCUUAACAAUAUUAGUCCCCGUGUGCUACGCAGUAAUUCCAGAGGAACGUUACCAGAUUAGCGAAGCAAACAACAAUCCAAACAACGACUCUCCCAACCAGCGUUGGAUCACCCAGCUCCAGCAUUGUGUCGCAACUCGUACAAACUUCGGAGAGGUAAAGCUGGAACUGUGUCCAGCGCUACAGCUGUCGAUCGAGUGCCUUGAAGAAUCUCCCAGUAGAACUGGUGCCAACAGUUCUCUGAAUAUUGCAACCAAGUUGGUCGAGAGCUUGCCAGAUGUGAGCAGAGGAAUUUGCCAAAAGUAUCAAACUAGGAUUGAAGAACCGAGUUCAACCGAGUAUCUUAAGAAAUGUGGUGUUGAAACUACUUUAACAUGCUUCAAAAUUUUAGACAAUAUUUGGCAGGCUGAACUGUCCGGUUACACAUUUGUCGAGUGUCAAACUCUGAACUACGCUAGAGACUGCAUCUACCACCUCCUGUCCAGCUGCAAAUCCCCACCAGAGUCACUGAAUGUGCUCAACCAGUUGCACCGAAAUGUGAUAAGAGACACUCCCUGCGACGGUUCGGAAAAUGCAAACGAUCCUUGAGCUCAAAAGCACGAAACAUCAAGCCUUCCCCUCUCCUUUUGCAAUAAAUCGGAUCGUGCAGCAAACACCUGCUGCCGGUGGCCUACACUGCAAACCAGAGCCAGGUUCGUUUCCCAGAACACGUAGAGUCAAACAUAAAUAAUGCCCGCGCUGACAGAAUGCGUCCAAGUUGUGAUUCCUCAUCGACCAACAAACCUGGCUGAGGGGAGAGCCCCGCCGGACCUGCAUUAAAUAAUAUAAUUAACACCGCCUGCUGAAGAAAAAUAAUAAUAAAGAAACGCUCGUAGACCCCUCGUCUAAA